GGCCGCCUGGCGAAAUGGCAUCGCGUCUGACUACGAUUCUCCUUCCAUGUGUUAAAAGUAAUCAGGAGAUUGCAGGUUCGACCCCUGCGGUGGUCA